rnacentral:rRNA from 1 species
GGGGGCUGCGGAAGGAUCAUUAAAUAAUCAAUAAUUUUGGCUUGUCCAUCAUUAUCUAUUUACUGUGAACUGUAUUAUUACUUGACGCUUGAGGGAUGUUCCAUUGCUAUAAGGAUAGGCAUUGGAAAUGUUAACCGAGUCAUAAUCAAGCUUAGGCUUGGUAUCCUAUUAUUAUUUACCAAAAGAAUUCAGAAUUAAUAUUGUAACAUAGACGUAAAAAAUCUAUAAAACAACUUUUAACAACGGAUCUCUUGGUUCUCGCAUCGAUGAAGAACGUAGCAAAGUGCGAUAACUAGUGUGAAUUGCAUAUUCAGUGAAUCAUCGAGUCUUUGAACGCAACUUGCGCUCAUUGGUAUUCCAAUGAGCACGCCUGUUUCAGUAUCAAAACAAACCCUCUAUCCAACUUUUUUGUUGAAUAGGAUGACUGAGAGUCUCUUGAUCUAUUCUGAUCUUGAACCUCUUGAAAUGUACAAAGGCCUGAUCUUGUUUGAAUGCCUGAACUUUUUUUUAAUAUAAAGAGAAGCUCUUGCGAUAAAACUGUGCUGGGGCCUCCCAAAUAACACAUCUUUAAAUUGAUCUGAAAUCCAGGUGGAUGCCCCC